UUCACCGCUCCAGCUGAGAGCACGUCCGCGUCACUCGACCUCACACACGCUCGCGAGUGACACACUUGGAUAGAACUAUUUACUAAAAUUGUGUUGUGGAAUGAUGACAACUCUUCCCUGGAAGUUGUAAAGAUUCGUUAGCAUCCAGUUGAGAUUAUCUGUUUCUGAGAUGUGAUGGAACUUGGUAUUCGAGGUUCUGAGAAUUAAGCUGCUACUGAAUCUACUGAAGUUGAUGGACGGUGAGGAGGUGUGAGGGUGAGGCGCCGAGAUGAGUCCCCGGACGAGGCGUCGCGUAGCCCCACAGCAAGGGCCUCACAUCCAAGGCUA